rnacentral:lncRNA from 1 species
AAAAAAUCCUGAAAAUCCUAAACGAUUGAAAACUAAAAAGGGUACUGUUUCAUUGAGUUCUGGAGGUGAUUUCUGAAUUUUUCUCUUAAGCUGUAACAAUAUCUGUGUAGCUGAUAAUGGAAAUGAGUUAAAAUCAAGUAGGUCAAUGUCUUCUGGUUCAUUUGCUUGGAUAGAGACUAUUUUUCUAGGCUGUUUACUUCACUUUCUGGGUCCAAAACUGGUUGAAAACUGCUGAUUGUUGCUCUGUGGUUGCUGAUCCUUUAUCCUUUUCCUUUGUUCCUUCUACAUCCAAGUACGCGUCUCCCAAAACUAUGUAAUCUGAUGCUCGAAUGGAAAAUGAAACGAAGGAAUGGAAGUUUUGGGGCUUCUGAUAUUUAGUCUUGUAUAGUGUCAUGUUUUAAGCUGUUUGUUUGAGUCAUUUCCUCAUGUAAACCUUGGUUGUAGUUCGAAUAUUAAGUAUGCUUAAGUCCUUAUGCAUGUGUACUUUGUUGAGUAGAGUUAGUGAUAGUUUGUUUUGGUGUGCAUGAUUUCCUGAUUACUAAAGUUACAGGAUCUCC